AUUGAACGCUGGCGGCAGGCCUAACACAUGCAAGUCGAGCGAGCGGCGGCCGGGUGAGUAAUGUCUGGGAAACUGCCUGAUGGAGGGGGAUAACUACUGGAAACGGUAGCUAAUACCGCAUACCAUCAGAUGUGCCCAGAUGGGCUUAGCUGGUAGGUGGGGUAACGGCUGACCUAGGCGACGAUCCCUAGCUGGUCUGAGAGGAUGACCCGCCACACUGGAACUGAGACACGGUCCAGACUCCUACGGGAGGCAGCAGUAGGGAAUAUUGCACAAUGGGCGAAAGCCCGAUGCAGCAAUGCCGCGUGUGUGAAGAAGGCCUUCGGGUUGUAAAGCACUGUCAGCGGGGAGGCGUUAACCGCAGAAGAAGCACCGGCUAACUCCGUGCCAGCCGCCGCGGUAAUUC
rnacentral:rRNA from 1 species